rnacentral:lncRNA from 13 species
GUGGUGGUGGUGGUGGAGGUGGUGGUGUUAGGCGUCGUCCGGGACCGAGAGAAAGAGAGAGAGAGAGAGAGAGAGAGAGAAAGAGAUUCCUCCGAGAGAGAACCGCCAUCGAGUACCGCUGCCGCCGCCGUCAUCGUCAUCUCGUAGCCGUAGUCGUCGUCUUCGUUGUUGCCGUCUUCGUCGUUGUCUUCGUGUUCAUCGUUACCGUCGUGCCGCCGCGGUGCGUCGCCGUCGCGCACUCGAUGCCAAAGCGGCGACAUCUGUUUCCGCGACGGAGCGUCGUUUCGCGCGUCGCCUUCGCCACGCACCUGGCCGUGGAUUACCCGGAAAUCAGCGAUCGCCCGUCCGCCGAGAAAACUCGCCCCCUGCGGCGUAUGUAAAGGAACGACGAGCGGAACGCGUGUACGCGGCCGAAGGGAAUCGAACGGGCACGCGUGCGCGCGAACGCGCGCGAUGAUUCUGCACGGCAUAGGACUGUGUUCCGUGAGCGCGAGUGAGACGGGCGAAGACAGGUUAGAGUGAAACAGGGACUCGGGAGGUGCACACGCAUACACGCGCGCAAACGCGCGUGCGUGCCGGGCCGCCGUCACCGGUGAGAACAACGAGCGACAGGAUUGUUUGAAGAAAAAGAGCAGCGAGGAUCGCCGAGGAGUUGUGAUGUUGGGCCCCGCGGCAUCGCCGGGUUGUUUCUCGUGGUGAUCAAGUGCUUCGCUACGUAUACAGUGCGUUUGUACGAGAAAAAGAGAGAAAGAGAGAAGGAAAGAGAGGGGAAGAAAGAGACAGAGAGAAAGAAAGAAAGAGAUCGAGCGCGUUGGAACCGACAGUCGCGAGUGUGCGGCGCGAUCGGAGUCACGAGACGACCCGGAAUAACGAUAUAAUAGCAAGCCCGGCGGCCGUAUGUGAGUGUGUAUUCGCCGCUCGAAACACGAGGAAACGUGUCGAGAAGAGGGGUCCCGAGUGACGUCGGGGGGGGCGCGUGCAGAGCUGACUUUGCCCCCCCGCCCCUGCGGCUAUUAUCGGCACCCUUGAACGGCUCGUCGCGGUGUCGAGAGGAUUCGGCGUCGAUUUUGCAGCGGUGCGGUUUAGACCUGGGAGAGGCUCAAGGAAGAGGCCACCUCCGCCACAAUCGCCGGGCAGCGCGGAAGAGGAGGAGGAGGAGGAG